rnacentral:rRNA from 1 species
UACAGAGGUCCCAAGCGUUGUUCGGAUUCACUGGGCGUAAAGGGUGCGUAGGUGGUGGGGUAAGUCGGAUGUGAAAGCUCGGAGCUCAACUCCGAAAUGGCAUUGGAAACUACCCUGCUAGAGGAUUGGAGGGGGGACUGGGAUACUUGGUGUAGCAGUGAAAUGCGUAGAUAUCAAGUGGAACACCAGUGGCGAAGGCGAGUCCCUGGACAAGUUCCUGACACUGAGGCACGAAAGCUAGGGGAGCAAACAGG